rnacentral:rRNA from 1 species
AUGCACAUCGUUCCCCCUCGAGUCCAUGCCGAGGGCUCCUCUCGCGAGCUUGUGCUCCACGCCGCCAUGCCUCCUCGACCCUGGAUUCGCCUUCCUCCCUCCUCCUUCGAGAUCCCCCCGAGGGGGCCUCUUGAGCUCUGGCUGCAGCACGCUGACUGCAGUACCCAUGCGACCGGACCGGAGGUCGAGGUUGUCGCUUCGGGCAAGGCCUACUUGACCCGUGGAUGGGGUGAGAUCACCCGGGUCUACCGGACAGGGGGCACCCUCAUAAUCCACCUCGAAUACGAUGGCGCCUCCUUGCUGUUCUUCAAGGUCUUCGACGCGGAAGGACGCCGGCUGGAAUGCUGCCCCGAGAAAGGCGGCCGGGGCAUCGUUGUGGCGAGGACCAGGCCUGCCAACCGCUUCCCCAGCAGCUCCCCAGGCAACAGUGGAGGUGCCGGAGGGUCCAGUGACUCCACCGAGCUUUACGCGACUCCGGAGACACGCGAUGACAGCUACAAGCCCCCGAGCUCGCGCCGCGCUCGGAGCAGGGUAGCUGCAUCAGGCCGCCGACGCCACUGUUCUGUAUGGGGUUGGCGCCGGUGCCUGAUGGCCCACUGUUGA